rnacentral:rRNA from 1 species
GACGAACACUGGCGGCGUGCUUAACACAUGCAAGUCGAGCGGUAAGGCCCUUCGGGUACGACGAGCGGCGAACGGGUGAGUAACACGUGGGUGACCUGCCUCUAGCUCUGGGAUAAGCCUGGGGAAACUGGGUCUAAUACCGGAUAUGACUCCACGGCGCAUGUUGUGGGGUGGAAAGCCUUGUGUGGCUAGAGAUGGGCCCGCGGCCUAUCAGCUUGUUGGUGGGGUGAGGCCUACCAAGGCGACGACGGGUAGCCGGCCUGAGAGGGCGACCGGCCACACUGGGACUGAGACACGGCCCAGACUCCUACGGGAGGCAGCAGUGGGGAAUCUUGCGCAAUGGGCGAAAGCCUGACGCAGCGACGCCGC